rnacentral:rRNA from 2 species
CCUGUACUUUCUAUAAAUGUGAUGGAGUGACGGGGGAGGAUAGUACUACCACUUAUUGGAUUGUGGGGUAAAUAACAACUGGGUUAUGUAGGCAAAUCCGCAUAAUUUUAACCGGGAGUUAUGAUGCAUAGYRAAAGGGCGACCAAGUAGCGAAUUGGAUGAUUCCAUACCUCUUAAAAAAGCUUCUAACAUAAAGUUUAUAUGAAACCCGUACCAAGAACGGACACACGUCCCCAAGAUGAGUAUUCUAAGGCGAGCGAGAAAACCAAUGUCAAGGAACUCUGCAAAUUCAUCCCGUAAGUUCGCAAGAAGGGAUGCCCACCCUAAAAAGUGGGCCGCAGUGAAUAGUAAGGGGGAACUGUUUAUCAAAAACACAGCUCUAUGCUAAGUCGUAAGACGAUGUAUAUGGGGUGACUCCUGCCCAGUGCCCGAAGGUUAAGCAAAGGUGUUAG